UACAGAGGUGCCAAGCGUUAGUCGGAAUCACUGGGCUUAAAGCGCGUGUAGGUGGACGGGUAAGUAUCUUGUGAAAUCCCACGGCUCAACCGUGGAACUGCUGGAUACACUGCUUGUCUUGAGGCACUUAGGGGCAGCUGGAACAAAUGGUGGAGCGGUGAAAUGCGUAGAUGUCAUUUGGAACGCCAAAGGCGAAAGCAGGCUGCUGGAAGUGAUCUGACACUGAGACGCGAAAGCCAGGGGAGCAAACGGG
rnacentral:rRNA from 1 species